UCCGUUCAACAGACCAUCCCUCAACGAGAGAAAAAGAGGCUGCAGUUGGGAAAGAGUUUUUUGGUCCCGCCAGACCUCAUAAACGAACGUGCUCUCAGAUAAAAGAUUCCAAACUGCACGAUUGUCUCAAGCAAUUCUGU